GUUCCUUGGAAAAGGACAGCUGAGAGGGUGACACUCCCGUCCGCCUGGUAGAGUGAGUCUUUGUCAACGAGUCGAGUUGUUUGGGAUUGCAGCUCUAAUUUGGUGGUAAAUUCCAUCUAAAGCUAAAUAUUGGUGGGAGACCGAUAGCGUACAAGUACCGUGAGGGAAAGAUGCAAAGAACUUUGAAAAGAGAGUUAAGGAGUACCUGAAAUUGCUGAAACGGAAGCGAAGGAAACCAGUGUUUGUUGGUUCAUAUUUCCCUUGUCACUUGUGAUGUGGGCGCUGUGAGCUUGCGUGGGUUUGCUUUGGUUGAUUCCUUUGGAAGAGCGCAGUCAGAGUUGAUGUCU
rnacentral:rRNA from 1 species